rnacentral:rRNA from 1 species
GUUUCUUUCUUUUUGCAGAAAUCAUUUACCUUUCAAUCUUGGAAGGCCCUAAGCUAAAGGAGAGCAUCAAUUGUCAUGAGAGAUAAGCAAUAUCUAUUAGACACGCAUACUAUCAGGCUAACGCAAACCACUCGGGAAUGAAGUAUACUUACCGUAACUUUCUAUGUGUUGACUUGAGUUUUCCUGUUAGUAAAAGAAACAUGCCAUUUUUUUGCGGUUCAUGGAUUCAUGCUCAAUGUUGAAUUAUUAUCUGAUCUGCAAAAGCAUGCCUUACUGCUGCUCAUGGUCACAUGAUUUAUAAUUUAUAACUACAAUUAUUUAAAUCAGUAUCUUGCAUGAAGUCUUGACAUCUAGCUUGAUCAAAGAUUCCACUGUGUGCUUAUUUCUCCAUCAUAUUGCACAAUGAAUAAUAUCAGUAGAUAAAUAUCUCCUUUUUAUGCAAUGAAUUUCAUGAAAUAAAACAGCGUCGAUCACUGUCUCCGACGUAAUCUUAAGUGCACAGGCAUGGCU